GGCAGUGGUAGCGCAACGGUUUAGGCUCUGGGUUAAUGAUCAGGAAGUCGGAGUUCAAGCCCCAGCACUGCCA